UCACGGUGGUGGAAGGAAUGAAUGUCUACGUCCUUAUAAGGAAAAGGCUUUUGUGUUGUGUGCAAAAUGUCCACCUUACUUAUCCGCUGUUUCCUUCGUCGUUCUCUCUUGAUAUGGAUCUUAUCAGUGGUGCUUCUGAAGUUGCCCACUGGACAGUGUUGGCGAGUCGUAAAUGGUGCUGUUGGGGAAUCAGCUGUUCUGUCAGGGACAAAUGACUCGAGUCGGGUAACAAAUCUUCUGUGGAGGAAGGGUGGACUUAUCAUAGAAAAGGAUGGUGGACAUAUAACUAUUUAUAACCAAACCCAUGAAGGGAGACUCACCCUGAGUGAGGGAGACGGAUCUCUGACCAUCAACCCUCUGAUAAAAAGCGACAGUGGAGAAUAUACCUUUGAAUCCCUCCCACCGCCAUGGCCAACAGAGACACAUGUGAUACAACUUAAUGUUUAUGACAGAAUCGUGUCCGUGGAGAUGGACUCGCAGGUGAGCUACAGCCCAGACAACAGCACCUGUACCGUGACUCUGAGCUGCACGGU